AUUUCCGUAGGUGAACCUGCGGAAGGAUCAUUAGUGAAUAUAGGAUGUCCAACUUAACUUGGAGUCCGAACUCUCACUUUCUAACCCUGUGCAUUUGUUUGGGAUAGUAGCCUCUCGGGGUGAACUCCUAUUCACUUAUAAACACAAAGUCUAUGAAUGUAUUUAAUUUAUAACAAAAUAAAACUUUCAACAACGGAUCUCUUGGCUCUCGCAUCGAUGAAGAACGCAGCGAAAUGCGAUAAGUAAUGUGAAUUGCAGAAUUCAGUGAAUCAUCGAAUCUUUGAACGCACCUUGCGCUCCAUGGUAUUCCGUGGAGCAUGCCUGUUUGAGUGUCAUGAAUACUUCAACCCUCCUCUUUUCUAGUGAAAGAGAAGGUGCUUGGUUUCUGAGCGUUUUGCUGGCCUCACGGUCGAGCUCGCUCGUAAUGCAUUAGCAUCCGCAAUCGAACUUCGGAUUGACUUGGCGUAAUAGACUAUUCGCUGAGGAAUUCUAAUCUUCGGAUUAGAGCCGGGUUAGGUUAAAGGAAGCUUCUAAUCCUAAUGUCUAUAUUUUAAGAUUAGAUCUCAAAUCAGGUAGGACUACCCGCUGAACUUAAGCAUAUCAAUAAGCGGAGGAAAU
rnacentral:rRNA from 1 species